AAGGACGAGGAAGAGGUGUGGGCGGCCACAGGGAAAAUCUUGCUCUGUUCCCUGAUCGGCAUCUUGACUCUCUGUCUUGUGUGCCGCGCGUGCGCUCAAGUUCUCCGAAAAAGCCGAGAGAAAAGAUUAUCUUCUGACAAAAGUGCUAGCGAUUCGAAAGCUGGGCACUCCCAGGAAAAGAGGCAGGAGAGACGAUUCCC